rnacentral:lncRNA from 1 species
GCCACAGUUGGAUAAAGUGAAUUCCUAGAUGAAAUGAUGUGGGCCUGGAUCAAGGAUUUAGCAACAUGUAAGAACAGAAAAGGUGGAAUAUGAAAGAUGAUCUGGAGAAGGAACUUUAAGGCAUAGCAUCAUUUUGAGACAUCUAGGCAAAAGUGUUGUUUUUAUUCUCUCUAGAGUUAAUAAGAUCUGCUUCUUUCUAUUUUAUUUUAUUUUUAAUUUCUGAAGAAAGGUGGAUCCCUGACAUUUGUUCUCUUUAAAACAAGAAUUAAGAUACACGUGUUGGAAGAAUUUACUGAAGUCACCCAAAGUCAAGCUUUGUUGUCCAGAUAUCCAAAAUCUCUGUAUGGUAUUCACUGCUGAGGAUAACCCGAUCUCAGGAAGACUGAAGGUAAAAGAUUUCAUGGCCAUUAUUUAAGUAAAAUUACCACCUAAGUGAAAUGGGAAAACAUCACAUGACAACAAAAAAAAACCUGUCUCAUUAAAAGAUGUCUUAAGCCCAAAUGAAAUAAGAAUAUCAUGGAAUCUAGUUUAAAAUUGAUGUGAAAAAUUGGAAGAAAUUUGCAAGAAACUUUUCCAUUUUGUUUUAAGAAAAUGAAUGGCUAUGUUCCCAUUCCUGUGGAAAAUUUUGGAGGUACCUCACAUAAUUUAUAAUUGAUUUUCCACUAAACUGUUGAAGAAUCAUUUUUGCUUCUGUUACUAAAGUGCAGCACCAGCAAAAAAACCUGCAGAACAUCUUGGCAAAUUCUUUAGAAAUUACUUCUACCUCAAAAACCUGAAAGUAUGAUUUUUUUAGUUUGUUUUUAGGGCUUCUUGGUUUUUUUUGUAUUAGAAAAAGAAAAUACUGUAAAUGUGUUGAAUACAUUAGUUCCAUAAUGCAUUCCUAUUCAGUAGGCUCAUAGUACUGUAGUUCAUUUCAGCUGAACAUUUCAAAUGACACUUUAAGGUAAAUCUUAUAGAUUUUAGAUUUGAAAUUUCAUAAUUCCUUUUUAGAGUGCUUGGAUCUAAUCUGUGACUUAAAAGCCAUACUUGAGCAAGUGUCAGACUUGAGCUUGGUUUACUCUUUCCUAGAUUUCCUAGAUUUCUGAGAGUCUGGGUAUUAGGAGCUUUAAAUAAUCACCUCAUGAGUUUUAUUACUCUAUAAUAAGUCUCUCAGCUUUGACUUGCUCCUGAGUUUUCUCUAGCAACAAAAAUGCUUUAUUAUCUGGAGAGCAACUUAAAGAACUCAGGAAUCUAAUUUAGUGUGUGAGAACUUU